rnacentral:rRNA from 2 species
GGAGCUCAUGGGCCUCAAAUAAUGUGUGACUACCCCCUAAAUUUAAGCAU